GGAAAGAUAGCUUUGAAAAUAUGACUAGAGCAUCAAACAUAACUUUGAAAAUAUGACUAGAGCAGCAAACAUAGUUUUGGAAAUAUGACUAGAGCAGAAAAGAUAGUUUUGAAAAUAUGACUAGAGCAACAAACAUAACUUUGAAAAUAUGACUAGAACAACAAACAUAACUUUGAAAAUAUGACUAGAGCACCAAAUAUAACUUUGAAAAUAUGACUAGAACAAUAAACAUAAUUUUGAAAAUAUGACUAAAGCAACAAA
rnacentral:lncRNA from 1 species